GCCUCGGACCGGCAACCGUAAAAUUCUUCAUUUCGCUCGGUAAUUCAGAGAUUGAA
rnacentral:tRNA from 1 species